UGAAACUGCGAAUGGCUCAUUAUAUAAGUUAUCGUUUAUUUGAUAUUGCCUAUCCUACAUGGAUAACAGUGGUAAUUCUAGAGCUAAUACAUGCUGAAAAUCCCGACUUCGGAAGGGACGUAUUUAUUAGAAUCAGAACCAAUGCCCUUCGGGGUUUUCUGGUGACUCAUGAUAACUCCACAGAUCGCAUGGCCUUGCGCCGGCGAUGGCUCAUUCAAAUUUCUUCCCUAUCAACUUUCGACGGUACGGUCUUGGCCUACCGUGGUUGUAACGGGUGACGGAGGGUUAGGGCUCGACCCCGGAGAAGGAGCCUGAGAAACGGCUACUACAUCCAAGGAAGGCAGCAGGCGCGCAAAUUAUCCAAUCCCGACUCGGGGAGAUAGUGACAAUAAAUACCGAUACAGGGCUCUUUUGGGCCCUGUAAUUGGAAUGAGUACAAUUUAAACCUCUUAACGAGGAACAAUUGGAGGGCAAGUCUGGUGCCAGCAGCCGCGGUAAUUCCAGCUCCAAUAGCGUAUAUUAAAGUUGUUGUGGUUAAAAAGCUCGUAGUCGAACCUCGAGCCUGGCCGGCCGGUCCGCCUCACCGCGUGCACUGGUCUGGCCGGGCUCUUCCCUCUGCGGAACCGCAUGUCCUUCACUGGGCGUGUCGGGGAGGCAGGACUUUUACUUUGAAAAAAUUAGAGUGCUCAAGGCAGGCCAAUGCUCGAAUACAUUAGCAUGGAAUAAUAGAAUAGGACGUUGGUUCUAUUUUGUUGGUUUCUAGGACCGCCGUAAUGAUCAAUAGGGACGGUCGGGGGCAUCAGUAUUCAGCCGUCAGAGGUGAAAUUCUUGGACCGGCUGAAGACUAACUACUGCGAAAGCAUUUGCCAAGGACGUUUUCGCUGAUCAGGAACGAAAGUUAGGGGAUCGAAGACGAUCAGAUACCGUCGUAGUCUUAACCAUAAACUAUGCCGACUAGGGAUCGGGCGGCGUUCUUUCUAGACCCGCUCGGCACCUUUCGAGAAAUCAAAGUGC
rnacentral:rRNA from 1 species